UCUCUCUCUCUCUCUCUCUCUCUCUCGGUUGGUGCUGGUCUUCGUUCUGUUGCUUCUUCCUUCGCUGCUCUUUCUUCUCCGCCACCGUCCCCUACUCGUCGUCCAGGACUCCAGGCUUUAAUGAUGCAGCGUCCUUCAAGGUACCCAUCGACCGACGCGUGGGCCCUGCCAGGGAAGACUUGGAGGAAGACUGGCUCGGUCGUGCGGUGGUGCCCAGUCCACCAGUCCAGGAGCAGAGCACUGAGCACCAAUCAUGGCCCACCCUUUCAUAGCGAUGUUAUGAUCAGCUGAUGGAUGCUGAUGGUGCUUGCCUCCUCCCUCUUUCCUUGCACAUUCCAAUAUCUUUGGCAUGUUUUCCCUUUUUUCCCCUGCUUCCUUGAGUUGUUCAUUCCUUUCUACUAAUUCUCCUGAUUUGUGUUGGGUAAAGUUGAAAGCCUUUUUGGAAGCAAGAUAAUAAAAAAGGAAAGGAUCAAGUGAAAGUGAA